rfam:Gossypium hirsutum cultivar TM-1 chromosome 20, whole genome shotgun sequence
UGUUAAAAUUUUUAUCAAUUUUUACCGUUAAAAACUAGUGUGAUUAACGGAAUAAUCAAGUAGUGAUAUAUGACGAGCCAUAUGGCAUGAUAUACAAAAAUUAAUUUGUAAAGGUAGAAAUAAAAUGAAUUUUUAACA